rnacentral:rRNA from 1 species
GGGGAGGCAAUACUGGCAGUCGAGCGAGCUUGCCUAGAUGAUUUUAGUGCUUGCACUAAAUGAAACUAGAUACAAGCGAGCGGCGGACGGGUGAGUAACACGUGGGUAACCUGCCCAAGAGACUGGGAUAACACCUGGAAACAGAUGCUAAUACCGGAUAACAACACUAGACGCAUGUCUAGAGUUUGAAAGAUGGUUCUGCUAUCACUCUUGGAUGGACCUGCGGUGCAUUAGCUAGUUGGUAAGGUAACGGCUUACCAAGGCAAUGAUGCAUAGCCGAGUUGAGAGACUGAUCGGCCACAUUGGGACUGAGACACGGCCCAAACUCCUACGGGAGGCAGCAGUAGGGAAUCUUCCACAAUGGACGAAAGUCUGAUGGAGCAACGCCGCGUGAGUGAAGAAGGGUUUCGGCUCGUAAAGCUCUGUUGGUAGUGAAGAAAGAUAGAGGUAGUAACUGGCCUUUAUUUGACGGUAAUUACUUAGAAAGUCACGGCUAACUACGUGCCAGCAGCCGCGGUAAUACGUAGGUGGCAAGCGUUGUCCGGAUUUAUUGGGCGUAAAGCGAGUGCAGGCGGUUCAAUAAGUCUGAUGUGAAAGCCUUCGGCUCAACCGGAGAAUUGCAUCAGAAACUGUUGAACUUGAGUGCAGAAGAGGAGAGUGGAACUCCAUGUGUAGCGGUGGAAUGCGUAGAUAUAUGGAAGAACACCAGUGGCGAAGGCGGCUCUCUGGUCUGCAACUGACGCUGAGGCUCGAAAGCAUGGGUAGAAUCACUAGUGAAUU